AAACCAUAGAUUUUUAUUCCCAGAAUCUUGAUAGAUUGACAGUAACACCUUUUUCUUUUUCUGGCUUUUUCUCUAUUGGGUAGAGGAGAAUAAAAAAACAUUAGCUAUUAAAGAUAACAUCACUUCUUGAUUAACACAUGAUUCCAUAGGUUUUGAAAAAAAAUGGAAACACAUGAUUUCAUAGCUUUUUCACCAAUUUUAAUAUCAUUUUCAAGUCCAUGACGGUAAAAAGAUGGCAACCAUCGGCUCCUCCUCGAUGGGUUAAGAUCAACAGGGAUGGUUCAGUGUUAAGAAGCAGAUCAAGGGCGGCAAUAGGUGAGGUGGUGAGAGGCUUGGGCUGUCCUAGAAGGUCUGAAACUAACUUGGGGUCGAUGCUUUAGACAAGUGGAAUUGGAAAGUUGUUCGAAACAAUCUAGCAGCAUUUGCGCUAGAUUUGAAGCCUCCUCUCUCUUUGAAGAUUGAUUGUUUUUAUUGAGCUUAUUGGUUGAAUUUUGAUUGGGUUUUCAUGAUGGGUUAGGUGAGUCUUUGACAAGAUUGGGGCUAGAAGAUGGAAUCGGGUAAUGGGUUGGGGGACGAUCGUGGUGGGUAUGGGAAUCGAGUGGGGCUUUGAGGUUGUGUGGUUAGUGUAAUGGUGGUGGGCAGUGUAAGUUGUAGUAUUUAGGGUUAAAGACGGUGUGGGAAUCAAGAGAAGGGAUUGGAUGUUUUAAAGGGAUGUGAGUGGUGCAGUUUAGAGAGGGGGCGAGAGUGAAAAUUGGUGUUGUUGGGAGGAGGAGAUGGUGAGCAGUGGAGGUGUGGGAGAUUAGGAGAGUGGUAAGGUUGAUGGUGAUCCAAAUAAUGGAGAAGGCAAAGAGGCAAAAGAGAGGAGGAGGAAGACUCUGUUGGUGCCAGUGAUCGGAUUAAGUAAUUGGAAGUCUGGUCGACAGCCGCGGCGACCAAAAGGGAGUUCGUUUCAAUUUAAUUUAUUUAUUUUUAAAAAAUGAUUUUGACCUUAAAAAUGAAAAUGGAUAAUUUCUACCAAGUCCCUAUGGUCAGAACGUUCAAUUUUUGCUGUGGCCCACAAGGCCAUGUGGCAUUAUAACAGUGGGCCACAAGUCAUUUAUUGUCAGAACUUAACACCGGAAAAAUAGUAUAGAUACCAAAUUGGAUAAA